rnacentral:lncRNA from 1 species
AUGUAUUAGUGGUUAAUAUUUGUGUAUAAGCUCCUCAUAACUCAAUAAUCCUAUCCCAUUUGCAUUAUUAAUAGGACAGGUAUGAGCUGAUUGAUCAUAAAACCCAUUAACUCAGAUUUGUGCUGCCUUCAGUUCCCUCCACGGAAGAGCCGGAAUCGCUGAGGAUUGCAGGGAGCAGACUCUGUACAGGCCUUUUCAGACUCCAGGAAUCCAGUGAUGAGGAUGAAGAACAAACACUGCUGCAGUGACUGAUGGCCUCUCCUACCCAAUCUCUUGUGGUUGGUAUUCCUGCUCUGUAGCCUGGGAAGGGUUUAGUCCAUUAUUAAACAUAAUUCCAGCUCUG